UCCCCCGCAUAAGUCAAAGGUGUGAUGCGGACCGAAAAAGAGUAGGGAAGCUGUUAAGCAAGCCGUCAAGAAAAGCUGCUAUUGUUUCAUUAUGGCCCGUACCGUAAACCGACACAGGUGGAUGGGGAGAGAAUCCUAAGGCCGGCGGAAGAAGUAUUGUUAAGGAACUCGGCAAAAUGACCCCGUAACUUCGGGAGAAGGGGUGCCUGCGAGAGCAGGCCGCAGAGAAGAGGCCCAAGCAACUGUUUAGCAAAAACACAGGUCUAUGCAAAACCGAAAGGUGAGGUAUAUGGGCUGACGCCUGCCCGGUGCUGGAAGGUUAAGGGGAGUGGUCAGGAAACGAAGCCACGAACUUAAGCCCCAGUAAACGGCGGCCGUAACGAUAACGGUCCUAAGGUAGCGAAAUUCCUUGUCGGGUAAGUUCCGACCCGCACGAAAGGCGUAAUGAUUUGGGCGCUGUCUCGACAAUACAUCCGGUGAAAUUGAAGUGCCAGUGAAGAUGCUGGCUACCUGCGCCAGGACGGAAAGACCCCAUGGAGCUUUACUCCAGCUUGAUACUGGGACCCGGUAUUGCAUGUACAGGAUAGGUGGGAGGCUAGGAAAUAUGGACGCCAGUCUGCAUGGAGCCGCUGUUGGGAUACCACCCUUGUGGUGCUGGGUUUCUAACCAGAGGCCGUGAACCGGUCUGGGGACAAUGUCAGGUGGGGAGUUUGACUGGGGCGGUCGCCUCCGAAAGGGUAUCGGAGGCGCCCAAAGGUUCCCUCAGAAUGGUUGGAAACCAUUCGAAGAGUGCAAAGGCAGAAGGGAGCUUGACUGCGACACCGACGGGUGGAGCAGGUACGAAAGUAGGGCUUAGUGAUCCGGUGGAAUUUAAGUGGGAAUGCCAUCGCUCAACGGAUAAAAGCUACCCUGGGAUAACAGGCUGAUCACUCCCAAGAGUUCACAUCGACGGAGUGGUUUGGCACCUCGAUGUCGGCUCAUCGCAUCCUGGGGCUGAAGUCGGUCCCAAGGGUUGGGCUGUUCGCCCAUUAAAGCGGUACGCGAGCUGGGUUCAGAACGUCGUGAGACAGUUCGGUCCCUAUCCGGCGUGGGCGUAGGAUAUCUGAGAGGAGCUGUCCUUAGUACGAGAGGACCGGGAUGGACUGACCUCUGGUGUACCGGUUGGCGAUCAACGCCACGGCCGGGUAGCCAUGUCGGGACGGGAUAAACGCUGAAGGCUUCUAAGCGUGAAGCCCCCCUCAAGAUGAGAUAUCCCAUCGUAAGAGUAAGACCCCUUGAAGACGACGAGGUUGAUAGGGCAGGGGUGGAAGUGCUGUAAGGCAUGGAGCUGACUGCUACUAAUCGGUCGAGGGCUUGACUC
rnacentral:rRNA from 1 species